rnacentral:rRNA from 1 species
GUCGGCCUGCGCGGAAGAUGUAACGGGGCUAAACCAUGCACCGAAGCUGCGGCAGCGACGCUUAUGCGUUGUUGGGUAGGGGAGCGUUCUGUAAGCCUGUGAAGGUGUACUGUGAGGUAUGCUGGAGGUAUCAGAAGUGCGAAUGCUGACAUAAGUAACGAUAAAGCGGGUGAAAAGCCCGCUCGCCGGAAGACCAAGGGUUCCUGUCCAACGUUAA